CCUACGGGUGGCAGCAGUGGGGAAUAUUGGGCAAUGGAGGCAACUCUGACCCAGCAACGCCGCGUGAGUGAUGAAGGUCUUCGGAUUGUAAAACUCUUUAAGUGGGGACGAAGAAAUUGCCUGUACCCACAGAAUAAGCCUCGGCUAACUACGUGCCAGCAGCCGCGGUAAUACGUAGGAGGCAAGCGUUAUCCGGAAUGACUGGGCGUAAAGGGUGCGUAGGUGGUUCGGCAAGUUAGUAGCGUAAUUCCGGGGCUCAACCCUGGAACUACUACUAAAACUGUUGGGCUUGAGUGCAGGGAGGGCAUAGGGAAUUCCUAGUGUAGCGGUGGAAUGCUUAGAUAUUAGGAAGAACCCCAGUGGCGAAGGCGAUAUGCCGGAGUGUAACUGACACUGAGGCACGAAAGCGUGGGUAGCAAACAGGAUUAGAUACCCUUGUAGUC
rnacentral:rRNA from 1 species